rnacentral:lncRNA from 12 species
CUUUCUUCAUCUGCAAAGUGGAGAGAAUAAUUUCUAUCAUACCAGAUUACUCUAAGGUUAAAAAUAAAUAUAUUAUCCAUUAAAAGCCUCACAAACUAUAAUGUAGCGUACACUCAUAAGAUAAUUUUAUUGUGGCUCUCUUUCACAUAGAAGAGAAAGACUAGCAGGCUCACUAAACACAACAUUACAAUAUAAAUACUUGAAUGAACAACCUAGAUGUCUUUAAUGAUAAUACAUGAGCAUCCUCUUUUUAAUGUAAGGUCCCCUCUGGCAUGAAUAGAUUGUUACAGCCAGUUCAUUUUCCAUGUUUCCAGCAGAUUAACUGCUUGUCUGAACUCGUGAAAUAGGAAUGAUGAGCCUCCGUGGAGUUGAAGGGGCUUCCUGAUGAACUCAUCUGUUUUCGUCUUUUGUAAUGAGAAGUUACCACUGUGCCCAGAAUGUUCUGCUUCUCUGAAGGCUUGCAGUUCUCACUUUAUACAGCAGCGGUUCCUGAAAUGAUGUCAGCCUCCCAGUAUCUUCUGAAUGAGUCUUCAUUCUAUGUCUCCUUAUCCAUAAUAGAAGCCAUAUGGCCCAGGAAAAUGACAAACUGUAUAUUGCUCAUGGAGCAGAUGGAAGAUCACUUGUAGUUUAUAUUUACAUCUGUGAGAAAUCUUUAGGAUUGAGUGGUUUAACAGUACUUCUGUUGUAUGUACUAUAAAAAUUCAUUGGUCAAAUCAAGUCUCAAGGCUGAUUAUGGAAAUAAAAUGUGCUACUCUAUUUCA